UACGUAGGUGGCAAGCGUUGUUCGGAUUUACUGGGCGUACAGGGCGCGUAGGCGGUUGGAUAAGCCCUCCGUGAAAUCUCCAGGCUUAACCUGGAAAGUGCAGAGGGGACUGUUCAGCUAGAGGAUGGGAGAGGAGCGCGGAAUUCCCGGUGUAGCGGUGAAAUGCGUAGAGAUCGGGAGGAAGGCCGGUGGCGAAGGCGGCGCUCUGGAACAUUUCUGACGCUGAGGCUCGAAAGCGUGGGGAGCAAACAGG
rnacentral:rRNA from 1 species